rnacentral:lncRNA from 1 species
AUGGCUUCGCAGGGCCGCCGGAGGGCGGACGCUGGGUCGGGGCAGCGCGCGCAAAGAGCGGUUCAGCCAGCGGCUCGCCCAGGGGACGCGCGUGGCCGGGAGGCUCGGGGCGAAGCCAGCUGUGUCCCCCGCGCGGCACCGGCGCACACCCGCGAGCUCGGCCCUGCGCCCGCUGUGGGCUCUUCCCCCUGCGAACCUCCCUACCCUCCCGCGCAGGGUCCUGCGGAGCGACGCCGGGGCAGGGGCCGAGCCUGGCCACGGGGCCGGGCCCUGCAGGAGGCCAGGAGCAGCGCUGGCACCAAAGCGCUUUUUUUUUGGCCGUGCAGCUUGCCUGGCCGGUUCCCGUGCCGCCGCCACCACCACCUGGGGCCGGGCGAUCUGUCACGGCUGCAGGUGGCCUUUCUGUUUUUAGCCUGUGCUUCGAGGCUGCUCCUGCGAGGCUGCAGGACUCCUGACGCUUUUUGCUUCUUUGCCCCACCUUUGCUGGAGGUUACGUUAUCCGGAGCUGGCUUGUUCUCUCUGGGCACCACAAGGCGGGCGGCAGCUGGUGGUAAGGCAGGAACCAGAGAGAACUGUAACCCCCAUGUAAACCAGCAGCUCUUCACUGCUGGCGAACGGUUACAUGUGGGAUUUACAGGCCAGGGGAGGAGGUGGAGGGAGAAGCAGGCCGUUAUUCACGGCAGAGCUGCUGGCACGGAUGCGCCGGGAUCGCACCCCUCCAGCAGCUGCAGGGCCAGCGAGGAGCAGCCGCCCUGGCCCGGCCUCAGGGACCACAGCGCGGUCGGGGCGCCAGGCUCGGCAGGGACGCUCCUGCCCGGCCUCCAGUGCAGGGAGACGGGGCCGGCGCUCACCCACAGGAAGCACGCGCAGGUUGGCCCUGGCAAGGCGUCCCGAGGUCACUGUGUGCCGGCAUGGCUAUGUUGGCCCCCAGGACCCCAUAACCGCGUCGGGGAGCUGCUCCAAGUCCCGACCCGUGACUCAAGCCAGCCGAGGAGCUGGGGCUCAGCCAGAGCCGAGGGGAGCAGAAGGGCCGUGUGGUGCUGCCACCAGUCAGUGAGAGCCCAGCGGCACCAUGUGCUGUGCUGGCAGCCAGUUUCCCUGGCUUUUGGGGGUUGUUUUGUUUUGUUUUCCAGCAGAUGUUUGCUCUUUUCCUCUGUAAGCACCAGAAGUCUCCCUUUUGCUCAGAAACAGUUACGUUCUCCAAGCUUAUCAGUCAGGACUUGUCCCUUCUAA